GACGGAGGGUGCUAGCGUUGUUCGGAAUCACUGGGCGUAAAGGGCGCGUAGGCGGCGUCGCAAGUCGGCUGUGAAAGCCCGGGGCUCAACUCCGGAGGUGCAGCCGAGACUGCGGUGCUCGAGGCCGGAAGAGGAGGGUGGAAUACCCAGUGUAGAGGUGAAAUUCGUAGAUAUUGGGUGGAACACCGGUGGCGAAAGCGGCUCUCUGGUCCGGACCUGACGCUGAGGCGCGAAAGCGUGGGGAGCAAACGGG
rnacentral:rRNA from 1 species